UGGGGAAUCUUGCACAAUGGACGAAAGUCUGAUGCAGCGAUGCCGCGUGAGUGAGGAAGGCCUUCGGGUUGUAAAGCUCUGUCGGACGGGAAGAACAGCGCAGAAUCUAAUAGGUUUUGCGAUUGACGGUACCGUCAAAGGAAGCACCGGCUAACUUCGUGCCAGCAGCCGCGGUAAUACGAAGGGUGCAAGCGUUGUUCGGAUUUAUUGGGCGUAAAGCGCGCGCAGGCGGGCCAAUAAGCCAGAUGUGAAAUCUCGGGGCUCAACCCCGAACGUGCGUCUGGAACUGUUGGUCUAGAAUCUUGGAGAGGGAGGCGGAAUUUCGCAUGUAGGGGUAAAAUCCGUAGAGAUGCGAAGGAACACCGGAGGCGAAGGCGGCCUCCUGGACAAGUAUUGACGCUGAGGCGCGAAAGCGUGGGGAGCAAACAGG
rnacentral:rRNA from 1 species